AAAUGUGGAAUGGUUGGCCUGGGUUGGCUUGGGACGAGCUGGGACGCAGGGUCGGGUUGCCAGUUCGGUCUGAAUCAUCGUAGGCCUUGGGUUAAGGCAGGUUCGUGUGGGUUCACGGCCUUGUUUAAUAAUCUUGUAUAGCUCUAGGAUCGUAUUUACAAAAUAGCUUUGAGCAACUAAGUGUCUUUUAAUGCUGUUUGCUGCAAACCCUAACCCUUUAUAUUAUAACCCCCUUGUACUCCCUUGCAUUUAUCCUGCACUUGUGGGUGUGUCUUGUUGAGUACGGUGGUUGUACUCAGUCUUGCUCAAUUUUUCCCAAACCUAGAAGAGGAGCCCCUGGAAGAUGAAGGCUUUGGUGUCUAGCUCGCGCCUGCCGUCAAGCGCCUGUGGUCGUCACCCUAGUCUUCCGCUGUUUCCCGUUUGUCUUUGUGUGUGCUGGGUCUUCGCCGCCCAUGUAAUAAAUUAACUAUUUACGCUUCCGCUUGUUAAACUCUGAACUAUAUCAACUUUUGGUGUACCUUGCCUCCUGGGACAAGGAAUAAUGCACGCACGUAAGGAACGCCCGUUGGGUUAUUUUUGGUCGUGACAAUAGUUAUGUCAAACCAGAUUGGUAUCGGCUGGGCUAUCUAAACUACUAACCAAUUAUAGUAUGAUAUAUUUAUAUAGAUUGAUUCGUCUAUAUAAGCAUGUACUAGAGUAUUAGCUAGUACAUUAUCUUCCUUGCUCUAUUUGCUCUAAAUAUUGUUCUAUCAGCUACUUUCAUAGUAUUGUCUUAAACUUCUUUAUUAAAUUUUGAUGGACAGUAUUACAGCCAAUAAGGCAUGUUUAGAGUUUAAUAUUCACUAAUUUACCUAGUCUAUAGCUAAUUUGGUAUAACUAUAUCGGCUGAGACCACCAACGAUAUGCUACCGGCCCAUCGGCCGAUCGGCUAUCGGUUAACUAAUUCUGCUUUUUGUCUUUCUUGCUGAUUGCAGGAUUAACUCAGCUAGCAUGCCCUUAACACACUCGAGGCUAGCCUUGGACCUGCACUGGAGUUAAGCAGAUCUCCCAGGCCGCAUUGUUUUUACAUCAACACUUAGUUAAUCUAACCCGAUGACUCGAUUUACUUGCAUCGGCCAAGCCUUUUGUAUGGUUUUGCUAGUAUCGGCUAAAUCGUUUAGUCAGUUUAGAUUAGCUAAGAUAUCCACCACCCUAAAAAUCAAUAAAAAGCUUGAUUGUUUAGAUUUUAUGCUUCCUUCCAUACUUAGUGCUGCAUCAAUUGAGUUUGACCUACUAAGUCGUGUUUAGAAUCAUAGCAACUAACCUUGAUUGCAAAUAGGGGAAGAAUCAGGGUUUCAGCUGAUCUUAACUGAUAUGAUUGCCUUUCUUUGUUUAAUAUCUUCAAUCUAGUUUUUCAUGUUAUAUCUGCCCUUUAUAUAAGUAUAUCACUCUAUUUAAAUAUAUCAAGCUUGUAUUCAAUUUUGGCCAGAUUAUCAUAUUUGGGAUUGAUGCUUGUUUGGUAUAUUUACUUAGAAUGAUAUUCUUAUAUAAGGUUGUAUCAGAGCAAUAGCCAAUAUUGUAUCUUUAUUAACCUAAACUCUAUAUCAUCUGCUAAGAUAUUAUUGACGAAAAAUCCGUGAUCGGCCGAUAGUGCCGGAACUGUGUUGGCGCGAACUAAGCCGACGAACACAGCGGCUUGGGAGAUCUGCUUAGCUCCAGUGCAGGUCAAAAAUAUUGAUGAGAUGUGGGCGUGCCAGUCAUUUUGAUCCUACAACUGACAAGAUAUGUAAACAAUAGAUCAAAUAGCCGAUCGACUAACAAGCCGAUGGAGCAAUUCUAGUCGAUACCGAUACCAGCCGAUGUCGAUAGGGUUUUGAGCAAUCAGCUCUAUGUACAAUUAAUGUAGAUUCUAACACUCGAGUAAAUAAUGAUAUAUAGAUAAUCGGCUGAUAAUAAUAUAUUUAAGCAACAAUAUAAUCUAAUAGAAACCAAUCGGCUAAUAAUGAUCAAGUGUUGAUCCAAAGGUUAAAGCAUACAUCGGCUGGAGGUCUGAUGUCAAUAAAUCCAAACGAUUAGAUAAACAGUAAAACCUUUGCUGCAAUCGGCUAAAUCCAACUUGUAUGUAAUCCUUAUAAGCCGAUGCAACAUCCAGAUAACUCAUCAUCUGAAACCCCGAUGAAACCCUUAUUAGCAAUCAAAAAGCAGGAUAGAAAUUAUGGUUCUAAACACGACUAGGGCUGAUGCAGUGCAAGGUAUGAAAAUAAACAUAAUAUCUAGACAACCAAGCUUUUCACUAUUUUUUAGGGUGGUGGAUACCUUAGUUAAUCUAAUCUAGCAUGAUAAUUUAGUCGAUACCAGCAUAAACCCUAAAACGAAUCUCAACCGAUAUGAUCAAAUUAAGAUGCUAAACUAGAUUAACUAAGAUAUAUGAUAACUAGCGGUCGUAGAAGAUAGAUUAGAAUAUCUAAAGCGAUGCCCUAAUCCGCCAACGCAAACCACUGAAACAAGUCAUACCUCUUGUCAGAAGAUCGAGCCGAUGCCCUAACUCAAAGCAAGAACUCGUCGAAAAAGUAGAAAGGUAAAAGGUGGCGAUGCGCUGAAGUUGUAUUGAUUGCGAAAUAGUUUACAAUGACCCCGGGUGUACAAAUUUAUACCCAUGGGUAGAUACUAGUCCUUGUUGGACAAGAAAGAAACUUUACUAAAAUAAAGAAAAUAUAAAUUCCUUAUCGGACACUAAACACACUUUCCUCAAGAUAAAAGGAAACUAACAAACUCUUCCUAAUUAAUAGAUAAACUGUCAUGGAGCAUCCUCUUUGAACUCGGUCAUUUCUAGAUAAACUUCCUUUAAUAGAUUCCUUUAAACCGAAUCUACUAAGAAUCCGACUAUUGGUGACUUGAUAACUCCCAUCGGCCGAUUCCAAGAUGCUAAAGCUGAUAGUGAAUCUAAGCCGAUGAUGACUUCGGGGCUUAUCAAAUUUUGAUGUUAACACAUGGUUACAGAUAUGAUCCGCAAGCGCACAGAUAUACCAUUGUAGCAUUUCACUUGGAAGUAUUCCAAGGUAUCGUAUUUAUUUAAUCCCAAGGGAAGAUAUGAUAAGAGAGUACUUUGCUACUAAUUUAUAUAUUACUUGUAUACAUCAAAGUCUAUGCAGGGGUUAAUUAAUUCAAGGGUAGGAUAAGGUUGACACGAAGAAUGAAGAACUAAGAUACUCUCACUAAUAUAUAUAAUCUAGGCUAAAUGGAGAAAGAAUAAGAAAAUAAUCAUUCCUAUACUUCUAGUAUACAUUCAUCUUUAGUUUACAAUCAUGUAGCCAAUACCCCCUAACUAUGCCCUCGCGGUGUUUCUAGAGACUACCCCUGAUGCCGAGUUCCUUACAACAAUCCGUUAUGACCAUCCAACCGGAAAUGAAUACGGAGGAGUACCCAUACCAGGAAAGUGUCUUUGGACUAUAUACUAACAUGGAGGAAUACCCGUACUAAGCUAUCACCAUCAGCAGCCCACCUCUACUGACCUGCAGUAUAUAACCCCAAUUAAUGAUAUCUAAUAAUCUAAGCACCACGCUUACAUUAUUAAAUACAACUCUACAUCCCCAAGAACGACAUAGAGCAAUCACUCGCAUGAACAUUAAACCCACACCAAUGCAUAUCUCAGGUAAGCUAGCUACACAAUUAUAUCGAGACAAGUAUAAAGUAAAGCCGAUACUCAGAUAAUAUAAAUUAAGUAAAAGACCGAAACUAUAUAAAGAAGAAUAUUUCAUUAACUCUAUAAGUCUUACAAAAGGAGGAAAAGCUACUAGAGCCAUACCCAAAAUCUCUUGAAGACUCGAGGACUAAAUGAACUAUUCUAUUCCUACUCCACUAGCACAAGAAUACUGAACUAAACUUGAGAGAGAGCUCUUGAUUUUCUUCUUGGAGUGUGUGAGGGAGUGGAGGAGGUGAUGGCCUUAUAUAGGCUACUGUUGGUAUUUCUUAACGACAUUACUAGAAAUAUAAUUCCCAGCAAUGGCGCAGAAAUACUUCUGGUAUAUUAUGGUUACAGAGUUCAUCUGCAAGCGCACGGAUAUACCAUUGUAGCAUUUCACCCGAGACUAUUCUAAGGGUAUCGUAUUUAUUUUAUCCCGUGGGAAGAUCAAGUAGAGAGAGCUUGACUAAUAGUUUAUAUAUAACUUGAGAUAAUCAUAUUCUAAGCAGGGAUUAAGAUAAUCCAAGGGUAGAGUGACACACAAACAUUACUACUCAUCCUCAUAAUAAAUUAUCUAAGCUAGGUGGAAAGAAAAGAGAAAGAAAAUCUAUUCCUAUACUUCUAAUAUACAUAGUAUACAUAUAUUCUAGUUAACUGAUAUACUAGCUAAUACUCUCUAUCCGAUGCUCUCCUGGUACUUCGAGAAGCCACCCCUGACUGCCGAGUUCCUUACGAUAGCCCGUCAUGACCUUACAACCGGGGCUAAAUACGGAGGAAUACCCUUCCCAGGAAAUUAACUUAGGAUUAUAUACCGGCACGGAGGAAUACCCGUACUGAGCUGUCACCAUCAGCGGCCCACCUCUCAUCCACAAUAUAUAACCCCAAAUAAUGAUACCUCAUAAUCUAGACACCACGUCUAAACUACCAGAUACUACUUUAAUAUCAUCGUCAUGACAUAGAGUAAUUGCAUAUGCAAACAUUAUACCCGCACCAAAGCAUCUCCUCCACUUUAGUGUCAUUCCCUGCAAAUACUAGUGGAAGUUUAUUAUUCUAAUACAUUUAUGCAUUGCAAGCAUCACUAGUUCUCCUCUAUUUUGGUAAUAUUGACGGUCAAAACUGAUCUAUAACGACCGUCAACAAAACCCCCCAAGCUUGGACCUUUGCUCGUCCCGAGUGAAGGACGAAAGGAAUCAAAGACUUGGUUGUUGAUCAGGAGUUGCUACUAUGCUGCAUAUCUCAAAGAUACAGGUGCAAGGUAUAUGUACUCUCUCUCAGAUUAAAUAAUUUUUGGCACGGUGGCUUACCCUUACCCCUGAUUCCCACGAGACACUGCUUUUCCUUGCCUUGGGCGGUUGAAAGAUUGAACAGCAAUUUAGAGUACCAAUCACCCGAUCUUUAUAUUCAACUCUUAUUCCGGAAGUUUUCAAAUGAUUUUGCAAAAAGAAAACCAAGUUCCUCAAAUGAUUCACUCAGUCUCUCUUAGUGUAUCAACAUGAAUUCCUCACCAAAUGUUGUCUUGUUGAUUCCUACUCUAAGGUUUUAUAUGUAGAGCUCGGUAGGGAUCAAACAUGGCAUACUUGCAUUCACAUUUAUUACUAAGUCAAAAACUUAGACUAGAGCAGAUAACUAAACAUACUCAAGAUCAAGAUCGUGCAUAAUGUGUGUGUGGUAUAUGGUGGAAUGGCACAUGAAUAAAAAAAUAAAGAAAAUGCUUCUCCUUUGCGCUUACUUUCUUCUCCCAAAAAUCCUUCUUUUAUUGAUUAGGAGAGGGCAUGGCUAUAUUAUUUUUUUUCAAUCAUGCUCAUGCUUGAUGGAGCAUAACUUUAUUUUUUUUUCUUUCAUAACCAUGCCUUUCCCUCCUUCUCUCUUUUUUUUUCAAAAAGUAUAUUAUUUUCUUUAGGAGAAGAAAGCACAUGAAAGCAUGGAGAAUUUAUUUUGAUGGUAAUAUGGAAAUGGAAUGGAAUAUUGCUUAGCUCCCAGUGUAGGAGUUUGGCAUAUGCAUAUAUGUGGGUGUAUGACCUUGAUCAUAGAGCAUGAGAAGUAUCUACACAAGUCACAAGAGUUUGAUAGAGUUCAAUGGAAUGACAAGCAACCAAAAUGUAUAUGGUUUAAUCAUGAUAGCAUAUUUUUGGCUCUGGUAGGAAUUUAUAUCAAAUGAGGAACUUUCAAAUUUAUUAGUUUGAAAAACAAAACAUCCGGAAUUCAAGUCAAACUAGUAUCAGGAUCAUAGUAACUCUUAUUUACUAUCUCAUAUCUCACAACAACCUAGACUUAGAUCAGCAAGUGCAGCCCAUUUACCUGAGGUUCCCGGAUAAUUGUUGGCUACUUAUAUUUAACCUUUGAGAGAGUAUUUACCAAGAACCCAUAUAUCAGAGAUAUAAAAUAGAGCAACUAUUUAUCAUUUCAACAAAGAGAACUAGCUUGUCUUACCUAGCUUGACUCAAACCUAUCCUAUCUUUUUGGUAUUUUAUAUUUUGCAAAUUUUUAUGUUGUUUUCAAGUUUUAUAAAAUGCAAUUGGAAAGGGAAAUAUGCAAUGUGAUACAAGUUACCUCAAUAGGGGGGAGCGAUGUCUCCCCCCAAGCUUGGCUUUCGCUCAGGGUCCUUGAUAAGGAUUGAACCCCCGAAAACGGAAGUACGCUUGAAGGUCAUCGUGCUUUUGCUGCAUCAUGUUGUUGUUGUUGGCGAACUGAGCAUUAGCAGAUUGUUGCCAUUCUUGCGUUUGAGCUAUGUGUUCCGUGAGGUUGUACUGGAUCUCCCCCGUCUGCAUAUCAAGGGUGUCCAUUCUCUUAGUGAUUUCACCCAAGUCCCAACGAGAGGAACUCGAGCGCCAUUCACUUGGAGAUGGAGGCACACCACUUGAUCUGGGAGGUUGAUUGUCCCCCCAUUGGAUGUCAUGAGGCGCAUGCCACCGGUCCUCACUGGCGCUUGUCCAGGUUGAGAUUCCGAUGCUAUGGCGUGGAGCUUGGGUCCACCCGGGUGCAUCCCAGUUGGUGCCCAACCUGCAUCAUACAUCUGCACGGGUGUUGAGGAUGAUGAACUUUCUUGCUCAUUCCUUGUCAUGUUGCGCGUCUCCCUGUAUGUUCCACCUGCACGAGAUUCUUCUAUGGUCUGCAGGGGAAUGGUUACUUCAUGGCAGUUGUACAAAUGAUACCCCGCAUUUGGCAACGGGAUUUCAUUUGUACAACCGGGGAAAAAGUAUAUCAAAGAUCCAUCUGCUCCAUGUUUCACAAUAUGCCCUUGCACUAGAUAAGCCUCAUCAAUACGCGGACGAGCGGCUGAGAUAAAAGCAAUUUGGUCGCUAACGACCCCUAGCCCUUUUGCUAUCCGAGUAAUCAGAGAAGUGCACUAAACAGGAGCAGAGAACUUUAUACUUUCUAACCAUUGCCUUAUCAUACAUUUCACAGGAGCAAUUUUGAUUUUUCUAACCAUGGCAAACAUGAUAAUUAAUUCAUCCCCUAAUGGGUAUCAGAUCACCUCUAGGAAACAAAGUCAUAGCAAUCCAUUUGUACAUGAGCCUAAGUGUAGGAUUAUGGAUAUCAUUCGUUCUAGGUUUCUUGCAAAUUGAAGCACCAGAAAUGUCUUCCCAAAACCUAUUUUUCUCGAACCCAGAAAUUCCUUUCCGGAGAUCGAUUUUAUAGGAAUUGUGAAAUCCAAGAAGUGUACUCAAGCCUUUCCAUGUGAGUGUGAACUCCUUACGAAAAAAGUGAAAAGAAAUACCAUAUUCUAUUUCUUUCAAGUGCACAGAAAUUGCAAAGUAAGCAAAUGAGAACCAGGCUCAUCUACCACAGCAAAUCUCUUCCAACCAAAAACUUUCCAGAUAGAACAAAAUUCAACAUCCAUACCUAUCUUUUUUAGCAACUCCGAAGAGUAUUCUCGCGUGUGAGCAUACUCCCGGUCGCUCAGCAUGUAGUAGGCUUGUCUCUCCCGAUCACUGACAAGGUCGAGGUCGGUGUCGUUCAGGAGUCAUCGCGGAACUUUGGCGUCUUCCAUCAAGACAUCAGCUGAUGAACGAGUACUAGACUCAUCAUGAUGACUUGAUGAAGAGCCGGACCCUUUGAAUAGACGAGACAGUCGCCUCCUCAUACUGCACAAUGGAGCAAAAGUGGACUAACUCGGCGGGGGUUAGAAGUGACAAGAAUUUCACCUGCCAGUUAGUUUCACCAAAGCAACUUGUAUAUAUAUGCAACUAAAUUUUUGAAUUUGAGGGAAACUAUCAAAGCUUGAAUGAACUUGAGAGCAAACUUUGGAGCGGGAAUGAAAAUGUGUUGAAAUGGGAUGGAAUUCCCUCUCCCAGCCGACUGGCUUUUAUAGGGUGCCCACAACGGUCAGAAAUGACAUGUGGGACCUACUAGCCGUUACCCUGCCAAAAGUGGCAGGGAGCCGUUGCCUGGCCGGUUCGGCCGAACCAGGGUGUUCGGCCGAACCCCUGGUGGGCCCAACCAGCCCCACUUUUGGCCGUUGGAUUCCAACGAUCAGUGUGGUCGUGGCACAGUAAAUUUUCGUUGAAAAUUUUAUUUUGGUUUGCUCUGAAAAAUUCAUUUGAAGAAUUUCCUCAAAAUUCAAAAAGCCUAAAUGCAUUUUGAAAUUCAAAUAUGUGAUGAUGCAAGAAUUCAAAUUGUUGAAAGCAAAUAUGCGGAUACAUACCAAUUUACCUUUUGAUGAAGGUCGCAUCAUUUUAGGUCCGACGUGCAAGACCGUCCCUCCUUUCGGUUCAGUGCGCGGAUUUUCCACCCGUCUCCGGAGGUGAUGGAGCGGGCGUCUUUGGUUUUCCUUCCACACCUUCUUUGGUUUUGGUGCGGAAGACGGCUUCUUCUGAGCCGGUUGCUCUAACUUCUUGGCCGGUACGGGUGAUUUUACCGGCGUUUUCCAAUAACGGUUCCUGGGCAUCGUUGUUUCCUUCUCCAGGAAGUUCUGCAUAAAUUUCACCAGGCUGUCCGUUUUGGGUGGCUCCACUUUAACCACUUGAAUAUUCUGCGGGUUCGACCCGUACUUUAUUCUGACCAUGGAGCAUUGUUCCGUCCUUGGUUGAAACUCAAAUCUUUCCUCCUUGCCAUUGAUAUGGAAACGGAUACUACUCGUUCCCACAUCGAUGUUGGAUCCUGCGGUGCUAAGGAAUGGACGCCCCAGGAUGAGUGGCGUCUCCUUCCCCGUGUCCAUGUCUAGCACCACAAAAUCAACCGGGAUGAAGAAGUCCCGUAUCUUGACUGGCACAUCCUCUGCUAUCCCUACCGGGUAACGGACUGAUGAGUCAGCCAAUUGGAGGUACAUCAGUGUUAGUGCCAACACCGUGAAGUUGAGCUUGUCGAAGACGUCUUUUGGCAUGACGCUGAUGCUGGCUCCAAGGUCACAUAAGGCCUGGUCGAAUUGUUGUGCCCCGAUCGAGCAGGUGAUCGUAGGACACCCCAGAUCUUUCUUCUUUUCCGGGAGCUUAUGGAGUAUGACGUUGCUGCAUUGUUCCGUUAGCUUGACCACCUCCAUUGUUGGGAGCAGUCUCUUGUUGUUGAGUAUAUCUUUGAGAUAACGGGCAUAUGUCGGCACUUGUAUAGCGUCCAACAACGACACGUUGAUGUGGAUCUUCUGGAUCACUUCAACAAAACGAGCGAACUGCUCGUCCACUGACGGUUUCCUCAUCCGUUGGGGAAACGGCAGCAACCGUGUGUCACAGUAUUCCUGCAGCACGGUCUUUUCUGGCUGAAUCUCCUUGUCAGCCGAGUCAUUAGAUGGCGCUUCUUUUGACAUCCCAUUAGUUCCUGCAGGGUUAGGAUAUGGCGGAUCACGAGUGGACUUACCUCCCCUCGUCGUGAUCGCCUUGACAUUUUCAAUGGAGGAGUCGGGUUGCCUCGGAAUCCUCCCAGUUUCAUUUGCAGGGACUAAAGAUGCUAACUGAGCUAACUGGGUUUAUGUCAUUUUGUUAAAGCUCAGCUGAUUUUGAAAGGCAGAAGCAAAGCCAUCUAACUUGACAUUAAUGUUCUCUAGGACCUUAUCAUUGGCAGCAAGUUUUUUGCUUAAUCCAUCAGUGGUUUAAGCUUGCGCAAAAAUGAGAUCCUUCAGGGAGGGCUGGUUAGAGAAGUUACCGUUAUUGUUACCUCCUUGAUAAUAUGGGCGUGGUUGGUUCCACCCCUGACCUCCUUGUGGACGGUACCCGUUGUUGUUGCCCAUGUACAUCGCCUCCUCACGGGUUUCCGGGCAGUCAUUCCCAGAAUGACCCGUGCCGCCGCAGACCUCACACGUGACGUGUGAGUCCAAGGCCUUGACGGUGCCUUGUGGCCUUUUCUCAUGGUCGUCCAAGCGUUUCAUGAGGAGGUCCAGCUUGGCAGCAAGUAGCUCUGUCUCCUUGACGGUGUGUAUGCCUCGCUGACGGGUCUGGAGUCGUUCCUCGCUCCAACCCAUAUUGGAGACCAUCUUCUCUAUCAGUUCAACGACUCCUUGAACCGUUUUAGAAAAGAAGGCUCCUCCAGCCGUAGCGUCCAGGUGAUCGCGGGACAUUGGGGUGAGUCCAUUGUAAAAAUUCUGCAGGAUCAGCCAGUCGUCCAUCCCAUGAUGAGGACAGGCGGCCACGUACUCCUGCAGUCAUUCCCAUGCUUCGGGAAUAGACUCGUCCCUUGUCUGCUGGAAACUGGAAAUCCUUCCAUGAAGGGCAUUGGUUUUGCCCGUCGGGAAGAAUUUCGAGAGGAAUGCCGUAGAGCAUUUGUCCCAGGUGUUGACAGCAGCAUGGUUGGCAUAAAAUCACUACUUUGCUCUCCCGAGAAGGGAGAACGGAAAUAGCCGCAACCUGACGACGUCGGGACUGACACCCUUAAUGGUGUACGUGCUACAGAUCUCCAGGAACUGUUGCAGAUGAGCAUUGGCAUCCUCAUUAGGCUUGCCAUAGAACGGGCUAGCCUGUGCCAUCGUCAUGAGGCUGGACUUCAAGUCAAAAUCCACGUCCCCUAUGUUGACCUGCGGCCCAAUGGCCACAUUGUCAGCAGAGGGAGCAGCGAACUCGCGAAGAGUCUUGCUGGCCAUAGUCUUGAAGGUCGGUGGCACUGGUAGGGCUGGUUUCUCCGUUGGUAGAGUUUUCUGCGAAGCAACGACUCGCGGCCUGACGCUCGGAAGAAAGCUUCUGGAUUUUCUUUGAAGUUUUCCGGCAGGUUGAAACCUGUCAUGCACUACCCUGUUUUCACAACAAAAAGUGAAAACAACCAAGGUUAGCCUGCAAAGGAAAUGAUUAUAUAGAUGUAAAUAUAAAGUAUUAGUUCAAGUAAUCUCUAUUAUGAAUCUUCCCCGGCAACGACGCCAGAAAUGCUUGUUGGUAUUUCUUAAUGACAUUACUAGAAAUAUAAUUCCCAGCAAUGGCGCAGAAAUACUUCUAGUAUAUUAUGGUUACAGAGUUCAUCCGCAAGCGCAUGGAUAUACCAUUUUAGCAUUUUACCCGAGAGUAUUCCAAGGGUAUCGUAUUUAUUUUAUCCCGUGGGAAGAUAAUGUAGAGAGAGCUUAACUAAUAGUUUAUAUAUUACUUUGUGAUAAUCAUAUUCUAAGUAGGGGUUAAGAUAAUACAAGAGUAGAGUGAUACACAAGCAUUACUACUCAUCCUCAUAAUAAAUUAUCUAAGCUAGGUGGAAAGAAAAGACAAAGAAAAUAUAUUCCUAUACUUCUAAUAUACAUAGUAUACAUACAUUCUAGUUAACUGAUAUACUAGCUAAUACCCUCUAUCCGAUGCUCUCCUGGUACUUCGAGAAGCCACCCCUGACUGCUGAGUUCCUUACGAUAGCCCGUCAUGACCAUACAACCGGGGCUAAAUACGGAGGAAUACCCUCCCCAGGAAAUUAACUUAGGAUUAUAUACCGGCGCGGAGGAAUACCCGUACUGAGCUGUCACCAUCAGUGGCCCACCUCUCAUCCGCAAUAUAUAGCCCCAAAUAAUGAUACCUUGUAAUCUAGACACCACGUCUAAACUAUCAGAUACUACUUUAAUAUCAUCAUCAUGACAUAGAGUAAUUGUAUAUGCAAACAUUAUACCCGCACCAAAGCAUCUCCCAGAUAAGCUAGACGUAUAUUUAGUAUAACAUGAACAUAAUGUAAAGUAGGUACUCAUAUACUCGGAAAGUAUUUCAAUACCAUAAAUGUAUAUAGAAGAGUAUUCUAAUAAAAGUACAAAGCUUACAAAAGAGGAAAGGAAAGCUGUUAGAGCCAUACCCAAAGUCUUCCGAAGGCUUCCAGACUCCUGAUUUCUACUCUAUUCCUAUUCCACCAGCUAGAUACUACUAAACUAAACUUGAGAGAAAUGAGAGAGCUAUUGCUUGAGGUGUGUGAGUGAAGUGAGGAUGAGAGCUCCUUUUAUAGCCUCCCAAUGACGGUUGUGACUGUUGGAAUGGUCGGUAAUACCCUCCAACCGCCACUGGGGAGCCAUCUCAGCCGUCCAGGAGAACCCUGGAUCAAACGGAGCUGCGGGAGGUUCGGCCGAACCACCAGGUUCAGCCGAACUUGGGGCCGGCCCAAUCUAGCCCAAUUUCGGCUAGCGGCCUUCUCCGUUGUUCUUCUCCUCAGACUUGUGAAUUUUGGCCCAGUUUGUCGUGUCAAUUCUGAGUUCUUGGCCCAUUCAUACAUACGUCUGGUUCUCGACAUCGUCUGAUUGAUUUAUCGUUUGAGUUGAUGUCGAUUCUCCUCCACUUUAGUGUCAUUCCCUGCAAGAGGUUAGCAUGCCUAAUACUAGUGGAAGUUUAUUAUUCUAAUACAUUUAUGCAUUGCAAGCAUCAUUAGUUAUCCUCUAUUUUGGUAAUAUUAACGGUCAAAACUGAUCGAUAACGACUGUCAAUAGCUACCAAUGACGGUUGUGGUGGUUGGAAUGGUCGUAAAUACCCCGCAACCGUCAUUGGAAGGGAUCCUAGGCAUCCACGUGCAAGGGGGAGCCAACAGCCAACCCUAGUUAGGCCCAACCGGCCCAGUUUUUGGUCGGUGUGUUGCCUGUUGAUCCAUCAGCCCAGUAGUGUGAUGGUUGGGCCUAUUUGAUAUUAUUUCUCUUAGUAAACAAAUUACUAUUACAUCGAUGGUUCUCAACAUUAAAUAUUUAUCUUGCCACAAAAUUUCACUUAGUAAAUAAAUUAAUAUUACACCGAUGGUUCUCAACAUAACAUAUUCAUCUUGCCACAAAAUUUCUCUUAGUAACCAAGUUACUAUUACAUGUUCUCAACAUAUUAUCUCUUAGUAACUAAAUUACUAUUACAUUGAUUGUUCUAAACAUAUUGAUCUUGCCACGAAAUUCCGUUCCCUAAACUAAUUAAUCCUACUGAUCACAAACAUAUAUUGAUCUCGCCACAAUUCCGUCAUCACCGGCCACGCCAAGCACCAACCCGUGAUGUGUUUGUGCUUCUAAUGGUGGCUGCUAUAACAAUACUGCCAUUUUUCAUUUAAGCAGGUUGUCCAUAGAAGUCAAAUUUGAGAACUUCAUCUCUUCCUUUUUGAAUCUGAUGCAAAAUUCCAUUGUUAACACUAAGAUAACUGAUAACCAGCAGCUACAAUAGAUAGAUUAGAACAUUUAAAACGUUAUACUAAUCCACCGAUGCAAACUACUGUGACAAGUCAUACCUCUCAUCGGAAGAUCGAAGAAGAUGCCCCAACUCGAAACAAGAACUCAUUGAGAAAAUUGAAAACAAAAAGUUUGGCGAUGCGCUGAGAGUAUAUUGAACUGUUGUUGUUCUUCAUACAAGACCCUGGGCAUAUAUUUAUACUCGUAGUACAAAACUUGUUCAUAUCGGACACGAUUCAAACUUCACAAAAUAAACACACCAGCCCAUUGUGGAUGCUAAUAUAGAUUUCUAAAACACAAAAAGGAAAGCUGACUCUUAUCCUAAUUAAUAGAUGCAAUUGCUUCUUUAGACUCUAUCCUUGUAUGGCAAUAAUUCUGAAUCCUCAAUCCGAACUCAUCAUGAACUCGAAAUCAUAUGUAUCGACUAAUCAAAUCCAACUCUAUAUCGACUGAUACAGACUCCAGCAGAUGCAUUGUUUCAUUUUGGAAACCAAACUAACUCCUUCAAAUCCGCUUCGGAUCCAUCCUUAUGUCCACGUAUCUUACCAAAUUUUGUUGUUAACAUCUAUGCUUUGUGGAUUCUGGCUAGAACAGUCACUGGUUGAUGUGUACCUGUAUAGGUAGAUCACGCAUGUGCAUGUUGUUGAUGUAGAAUCGCGCCGCCACAACUUGAGCAUGUUAUGUGCAACCCACGGAAUCACCCGGAGACGCGCCGCUGUAGGGUGUGGGUAGAGGCUGCCGAACACACACCCAGGAGGGACCCCGUUAGGGUGAAUGCGCUCUAGUUUGUGCUAGACUCGGCAGGCCAGCUAGGAUGUCCUUUAACACCGUAGAGACGAGAGGCGGCGAGCAAUUAGGGGAUUUGGGGAGAAUUUACUUGGGAUUGGAAGCAAGGAGGGAGAUGUAGAAUAUAGAGGGUUUGGAUAACUAAAUUGAUUUUGACGAUUGAGUGGUUAUUGUUUCAAUCGAACUUGUCCCCCUUAUAUUUAUAUUAGGGGUGGACUUACUUCCCAUGGUCUUUCCCACGUCCAAUUAGGCUUAGAAAUCAACUAGGACUCGAGAAAUCCCUAUUGUUGGCGGCUAUUAAAUACACAUUUUUAUACCGCCAGCAUUUGCAUAAAACUCAGAUAAUAAAACAUCCAAUAUAGUGGUAGGUGUUAAUUCUAACAUAUUCCACGAGUGUUCGUGUUUAAUUGAUGCAGGUCCUAAACCACCGAAGUUGGGAGGAAAAUCAGACUAAAGUGAAGAAGGAACAUAUCCAUACAAGGGAGGGGCUUUAGACUUCACUAAAAUACCAGAGAAUCAGCCCAAAACUCGCAGUAAUGGAUAAGGCAGAACAGGAGGAGUCCACAGGCCAAAAUUGAGGGCCAGAUGGGCCAGCCCAGAACCCUGAUCUCCACCGUUGAUCCUGGGGUUUGGAAGGGAUGCUCCUGAUUUGAUCCUAAUGGCGGUUGGAGGGCACUUUGGACAAUUCCCGUUCCACAACCGUCAUUAACUGCCUAUUUAAGGAGCUUCACUCAUUCACUUCUUCACACACUUCCAAGCUUGAGCUGAAUUAUAAGAGGCUCUGUUGUACUAUUUUGUAUACUAGAAUUAGGAAGAGAGUAGAGUAGAAGAAGUCGGAGGAAUUUCGGAGAUGUCGGUAAUCCUCUCAUGUUUAUUUUAUUCUGUUAAUUACUCUGUUUUCAAUAGAAAUAUCUUUCUGAGUAAUUUAGAUUUACUUGUGAGUACUUGUGAGAAUUACCUCUUAUAAGAAUUAUUGUUCACUAUAAUCGACUAAAAUAUAGUGAUUGCUUUAGUGAGUUAGAAACACUAAAGUAGAUAUUAAUUGCUCAGACGUGGUGUUUAGGUAAUUUAUAUCCAGUAAUUGUUGUGUAUCCCACAGUACGUUUGAGGUGGGUGUAGAGGUGGUGACAGCCCUCAAGAGCACUUAAGUCCUCCCUGUCAGGGUAUGUAGUAGAGCGACAUCUAGGAACAGCGGGUUGCCAGUGUCUGAAUUAUCGCGUUAGGAUUAAAAUUAAACUUUCCUUAGACAAUGUUUCUCACUAGGAAAUCCUCUCUAUCCUUUGCGCAUCUUAGCUUGGUGUCCUUGGGUGAACCUGAUAAGGAAGUAAUACCCGUUGCCUGUGGAAAUCGAUACCUAAGAAUAAUCCCAGGUGAAGUGCUGCAUUUGUGACGUUAAGAAAUACCAACACCGAUCUAAAACAAGGAAAUACGAGAAAUACCUAAAUUGGACUCUGACUCUAUGCUGAAGGUCUGACCACCCGGCGGUCUGAUCACAGCUCAUUGUCCGGUCUGACCAGCCACACUACGGCGGUUAGACUGGCCUUCGCGGGAAUGACUUGGUAGUUUCCAAAUUUGGCUCAAACUAGCUAUAACAUGACCCGUGUCAAAUUUGGUUACUGCCUAUAGAUCAUGUGACAGAUUUUUUAGCCUCCUAUGAUGCACAUUUCUUACCCUUUAAAUCAACAUCUAACGGAUGACAUUAAUAUGCACAAACAAAAUACAAAAAACAAACAAACGAGCCACGUGGACAAUCUGAAGCUCAUGGGGCUCAAAUGGGCUCAAGUAGAUUUCAAACUUACAUCGUAAAUACACUAAAAUUAUAUAUGUAAUUUUCAGACUUACAUCGUAAAUACACUAAAAUUACAUAUGUAAUUAAUAUAUAAUUAUAGUGUAAGUACGAUGUAAUUAGUACGCGUGGGAUCAUAAAUAAAUUAGCAUUGAAAAACACGUACGGCUAGUUUAACAACAGGGAACAGUAACGUGGACCUAGUUAAUUAGCAACGUGGACCUAGUUAAUUAGCAGCUAGAUGCUAGCACGGAUCUCAAAAACCAUAUCCUACGGCAAAAAUGCGAAUGAUGGAAGGCUCAUAAAUCAGUCAAACGAUAGUUAGCAAUUCCGUUCUAAAUUUGGCUCAAACUAGCUAUAACAUGACCCGUGUCAAAUUUGGUUAUCAACACAUGUAUAGCUCGGAUGGAGGUGGGUUGAUCGAUCUUAUCAGGUGAUUGAAUCGUCAUACAUGCAAAACAAAGCAAUCAUGAAAAUCAAUCCGUCAGUAAGCUGAAAGAUAUAGAUGCUUCAUAUAUCAAUGUAUUGUGUGUGAUUAAGUCAUGCAUGCCGGUUGAAUUACACAUGCACACGAGUUAAAUCGUGGUUGCCGGCGGCUCCGCGUGCGAUUAACGUUAAUAGGUUGUGGACACAACCCGUAGACCUGCCUUGUUCCCAUGAUGAGCGUGACCCGCACCGGCGUGUGCAUUGAGUGCAUCAAGGAGCACGUCGGGCUGACGCACUGGGAUGACGACCACUCAUCUCGAUCUCAGCUAGCAUUUGAAAACAAGAAAGUAACAGGAGAUCAAUCUACCUUUAGAUAUCAAUCUAAUAGAAGUUAGAUUGGAAUGACAAACCCAGGUUAGAGAUUUGAGCCAUCAAACUCGUUGAGAUUGAUCUCAACACUUCUCUAGAAGUUGAUUCUAUCGCACUUCUCGACAACAAACUCGACGCGACCGCUACCUAACGUGCCAAACUAUCGAUUUUGGAAAUUGACAAUGAUAAGGGGGUAGGGCACGAGACCUAAAAGUGGAUAGAUGCGAAAGACGAGAGUUUAGACAAGUUCAGGCUCUCUGAAUAAGAGGUAAUACAUUACUUUUGUUUGGGGAUUGUAUUGGUCCGAUGAUCUGACUGUGGCUUAUGUUGCUAUACCCUUUAAGGUCUCCCUACUCACCUUAUAUAGGUUAGGGGCAGGGAUACAAAUUAAAGAGAAAAACCUAGCCGGACACGAUACAGUUUGCUAAUCUAUUACAUGGUAGUACUCAAUCGGGACUCUAGGUCCUACAAUAGAACACAAGGCAACAUUGUGACCGAGCCAUACUUUAUCUCUAUCUCUACUAUUAUAAAAAUUGAAGAUUUUUUUGCUAGAAUUUUAUAUUUAUGUCAAAUCCUUUCCUUUUUUCUUACGCCAGAGUGUCCCUCUUAUCUAAGAUGCGUGCAAAUUAAUUAGGCCCGUAGCAUUUCACGCGCCCCUUGCCACACACGGCAAUCGGGCCCGUGCCUGAGAAUAUUUCCACAGGCGCCUUUGCACGGCAACGCCCUCGCGCGCAUGAUUUGCCUUUGCCGUAUGUCCGAUUGGGACUGCGUCGCCCUCACCCGUGAUUUAAAAUUUUUUUUCUUUUUUGUGAAAACUAUGGUACGUCGCCUGUAUCUGAUUCCGUUACGUGUAACAUUCAUUGCGAAGUCAUGACUCGCGAGCGAACUGCGAAAGAAAGUCCGUGUCGUAGAGUCCAUGUGGAUAUCACAUACGCCGUUGCCCAGAUUAUCCAAUUCUAUUCAUAUUACACGACACGGUUCCUGGGACAUGUUAGCAUGAUUUCAAGUCACUCUCCACACAUGCUCGUACGUACUACCAGAGAUACCGUUACAAUAAUCCAGAAUCAGUUUUACUUUUGAAAAGAACACGCCAACCGAAAUAGAGUAUGAUCGAAGUUGCUGAUUCCAUCCGUCAUCAAUUCCUGCCCGACUUGAGAUAAAGCUGGGCAACAAAUCGAGCUCGUGUUUGAAGGCCUCAUUGUUUGGCUUAUGCUUAUUCCUAUAAGCCAAGUUUUAAAUUUUAGAACGUAAUUUUAAAUUUGACUUUUUGGUUUUUUUAUCGUACUUUAUUUUACAGUAUUUGCUUUUGAGUCGCUAAGAACUUGUGUAUGAGAGAUUUGCACACAAAUAGUCUUUUAUUUUGUUGUAAGUGAUUCCGAUAAGCACAUGAAUAAACGAAACAAUGGCCGCCGACACAUGUACAAAUUAAAUUGGCUCAACCCGUUGUAAUGCACGGGCAUCUUUUCUAGUUAUAUAAUACAUGAAUCCAGCCCACCUCCUAUCUAUAGUCGGAUAUGCAGACCGUAUGGGUACCGGGUACCCAUAUUCUCCACGGAAGAUGACAAUGGUGGCAAUUUCAUCUCUUGUGCUUGGACUGCGAUAAAAAGAAUAGUUCGCUGUUCUUUCUCGAGAAAAUCCAUGAAAUGCAAUUGACAAGUGUCCUAAUCGAAGAAAUGCCAUUGACGAACGCAACUUCUAGAAAAUGCCAUCGUACGAAUUAACUUCUCCCAAAAAUGCCACUACCGUUUGGUUUCUGUUAAUUCCACUCCGUUACACCUAUUUAUUUUUUUUUAGAAAAGCCCAAAGUGCCCUCAGUACAUACUAUACUUACUCUAUCCUUUAUUUCUUUUUACCUAGUAAAGACAAAUUCGACAAAAUGGAAACAACACCUAACCCUAGCCCCGAUCUAGGAGGAAGCUGAUUGGAUCCCGGCGGCACCGCGGCGCUCCCGACCAAUGAUGGCAGCGGUGGGGUGAAUCCUCACGGCGACGGCGGCGUGGGUCUCCCAGCCAGGGCUACGUUGGGCGGUGGCGUGGGGGGGGGGGCGAGGCUGCGAUGCUGCGCUCCUAGGCGGCGGCAUGGGGGCGCAAGGAGGUGCUAGGGUGGCCCCAGACAAUGGUGCAUGGGCCCGAGGAGGAGGUAGGGCCACUCCAACCGGCGGUGGAAGUGAGGCUGGAGGCGGUGGCGCCUCACUCCCAGGUAGUGAUACGGGGGACGCAGGCGACAGCACUGUGGUCCCUGAAGGUGGUCAUCUGCGAUAUAUUAUCCAGAAGUGAGGAAAUCCAAGUUUCUAUUGUCAUUGACAAAAAUUGGUAUAGGUCCAUUUACCCACUGAAAUGUGUUGAUUUGUAAUGAUUCAAUUAUGAAUAUAUGAUUAUUGAUGUUUGUAAUGAUUUUAUCUUGAUGUGAAGUCCUGUUUUUUUCAAGGUUCACUUUUUUAGAGUUCUGCUUGUGCUGUUCUGAGCAUAGUGGUGUUCAUGUGAGUUCAUGCCUAGGUAUUUGGCCAUUCCCUUUAGUUCCUGACAUUCAAUAAAUUUAGACAAAUUUUGGUCUAGAACUCGAAAAUGAGUUCCUAUAUAAUUGUGCUACUAUUACAUGUGUGUGAAAAUUGAAAAUAUCAUAAUGUCUCAUUUUUAGUUUUAGUAAGAAUAUUACCUGGUGCAAAUAUUACAAGAGAAAAUCCACUCUUUACCAAAGUAUCAUACAAUAGUUUUGCAGAUACAUUAUGUAGCAUUCACAUGGGGCAAAUGGUCUUUUCACCAUGUCCAACGGAGUAUAGCUAAGGGAGUAGUGAUGGUGAUGGCAUUUUUGGGAGAGGUUGAUUCGUACGAUGGCAUUUCCCGGAAGUUGUAUUCAUCGAUGGCAUUUCUUAGAUAUAGACGGUUCUGUUUUGUUCUAAGCGAGCUAUGCUGUGUUGAGUCUCCAGCGUGUAGUUGUAUCAGAACCCGGUAUGGCUUCAGUAAAGCUGGGUCGUGUAUGCCUUUUGUCAAAAAAAAAAAAGAAGAAAAGAAAAGAUGAGUUGAAUUGAAAAGUAUCAUUUAAUAGCUCAAAAAGUUUGCAUUUAACUUUAAAGUAUCGAGCUGAUUCCUCCAAAACACACCAAAAAUAUGGAUAAUUAUAACUGGUUGGCUUUUUGCAUAUACCUAGCGGCCUUCAAUCUUCUUUUUGCAGCAAAGACAAAGCUAUUCUUUUUCUCUUUGUUUUUUCCUUUUAUUCUCUUUCUUGCUCACUUUUGCUCAUGCUCACGUGCCCCUCAGUACUAACUUCCCUCCGUCCUCUCGCAAAUUAAGCACUUUCCUCUUUCCUUUGCAUCCUGGUAAUCUUUCCUUACUGUUAUUGAAAGAAGACAAGUUUUAGCGCAAAUGAACUGAUGGGUUCCUCCUUUUCAUCUCGUUUGCAACUUCCUCAGAUUCCUAAAUUGCUUGAUCUCAGCCCUCUGCCUCCUUGUGCACUGGCAUUUACUGUAUCUAGCGUUCCUGUUUCUUCCUUUUCCAGCCCCUUGCAAGGAUCUUUCCUGCUUCCUUUACUGAACUGCUUAUAAGCAUGCACAUCGCACUGUCGUUCUGUCAUAUCCAUUCCCUCCCGUGGACAUCUCCGACGAGCCUAGGCUGCUGCUGCUGCUAGUAUGCACAACUCUUUCUCCUAUUGUUUUGUUUUGAUUGUUCACAUCACCCUCAAGUCUGAGAGCUAGCUGACCAAUCUCUAGUUCUGUUCAAUGCUCAGGGGUUCAUCAGGAAAACAUGGGUUUGCAGAGGAAAAUCAAAAUUCUAGCCAAGAGAACCAUCCAGGAGGCGCAAGCUGUAACCCUACAUCCCGCGAAGACGAAGCGGCCCCGUUCAGAGGAGGAAGAAGAAGCAGCAGCUUCGACGCCAACAGCUCUCUGUGGAGGAGGAGGAGGACUUGAAGGUGCUCUGCACUGCCCACCGGCGCCGAAGAAGCCGAGGCUUGUGAUGGGUUGCAGCCUGAACGGGUUCAAGGUUCUGAGCGUCGUGGAUUUGCGUUUCUUCCUGCGUUGAAGCGGCAGCUAGCAUUGUUUUUGUACAGGCAAGAGUUAGCAUGGUGCCUGCUUAUGAAUGUUUGUGAACGUUGACAUGGAACAAACAGAUUUGCUUUUUAGUUUUUUUGUCUUUUCUUAACGGAAGCUAAUUUCACUUCUUCCCCAUCUCCAUAGCUCAAUUGGCAAGUUGACAGUAGCCAGUAGUUCUUAGGGUUCCGCAAAAAAUUUGUUCGCCCAACUGUUUGGACAUGAUGAAAAAUCGCCGAUAUUCACGAAAUUCAGACCAUGCCAAAUAAUUUUUCUACACUGGCGAGUAAGUACUUGUUUAGCUCAGCCUAAAAAGGAAAAAGUCUAUGUACCACAUAUACUUGAUAAAAGUUUAUCUAGCAUCGUAAAAAAAUAGGCUGUGUUAGGGAGGUGAAGUUUGGAACUCACCUCCUGCGCACGUAAAACGGAACAACGCAUUUUCUUUGAUUAAUUAAUUGUUUAAUAACUUUUUUAAAAAAUAGAUUAAUAUGAUUUUUUUAACGUAACAUUCGUAUAGAAAAUUUUUACAAAAAACAUACCAUUUAGCAGUUUAAAAAGCGGGCGCGGAAAGAACACUGCUAACUAAUGUAGUAUGUUUGCAUAUCGUCAAUCAUAUAGUAUAGUGGCUUUUGGAUAGUAGUUUUGGGUAUUUGGAACCUUAAAUCAGCAGUUUUAAAUAACUAAUGUAGCAUGUUUACAUAUCGUCAAAUCACAUGUGACCAAUUUAUACUCCAUAGUAUUGUCAUACUAGAAUUAUAUGGGCAUUCUUUUGUAAGCAAUUAAGAGCAAAAAGUUGGGGAAACAGAAGAUUUCGCUGAUGAUUUUAACACAUAUGUCCAAAUUCCAAUGCAUAUGUCACCUAGUUAAACUAAUCCAACAUAUAUGUAAAUUAGAUAAAAAUCAUUUUGUAAAAACUACACUAGGGUGCAAUAUAAACGAUAUUAUAUAGUAGUUCGGAGGGCUGGAUAUCUCAUUUCAAAGUUCAAGCUGCUAGAUAGACUUUCAAUAAAAAAAUAUGUGUAGGGAUGAAAAUAGAUUGAAUCUAUUAUGAAACAAGAUAUAUGAUCUCAUCCAUAUAUAUGGAUGGAUCGGCAACCAACUCCGGGGCACGGUGGUGCCCCACGUCUUCAGGCCCUCACGCACUCCUGCCAACAUGCCUCUCUCCCCCAUAUAUAUUGUAAACCCCGUGAUCAAUGAGGCUCAAUCUCUCUUACUAUUUGGAACAUUGAGUUUGAGAGGAGAGAAGAGAAGAUUGAGAAGAUACGUAAAACGAGGUGAGCCAUUAGCGCAUAAUUAAUUAAAUAUAAAUUAUUUUAAAAAUUAAAACUGUAUCAAUAUGAUUUUUUGAAACAACUUUCAUAUAGAAAUUUUUUUUUAAAAAAACACACCAUUUAGUAAUUUGGAAAACGUGCUCGCGGAAAACGAAAUAACUUUCACACAAUGUGCUGCUGCCGAACGUUAAGGAGAUAUCCUGAGGUCGAGAGUUCUGGCUUCUCUCGCCCCCAAGUUAAUUUUCCAGAAAAGGGAAAAACCUGAUAUUUUUGUAAAAAAACAGAGGAAAGAACCUUUCUCUACCCGAGAAAUCCAACGCUGUCUUGUCACUUUUCAAAUUUGAUCUCUCUUCAAGCACACGCACUUUCAUUUGUAGGACAUUUGGCGAGACUCCCACAUCAACAAAGAAUCGGUUAUGCCUGGUGGCUGAACCAUACUGUAACCAUUGCGAUACCAGCAGCCCAGUUCUCAGCGUGCCUUGUAGUCCAUACAAGCAUAAUGAUCACACUGACUGAACUGUAUCCACUGGGCAGAAGAUUACGGCCCGGGUUAGAGCCCACCCUAAAAUUUUACAUCCUAUCACAUGGAACGUUUGAACAUCAGCAUGAAGUAUUAAAUAGAGGAUAAAACAAUAAUUAAUUGACAGAUUGUGACUAAUUUGUGAGAUGAAUCUUUUAAGUCUAAUUGCUCCAUGAUUUGACAAUGUGGUGCUACAGUAAACAUUUGCUAAUGACGGAUUAAUUAGGCUUAAUAAAUUCGACUCGCGAUUUACUGACGGAUUAUGUAAUUAGUUUUUUUAUUAGUGCCCGAACACCCCAUGCAACACCCUAUAUAAUACCCGAUGUGACACGCCAAAACUUUACACCCCUGGAUGUAAACACCCCCAAGAUCUAAACACCCCCUACAUUGUUUGUGUGUUCAGUUGUUUCCAUGUGAAAGCAGGGAAAAUAAAUUCUCGUUCACCUUUUAUGCCAAGUUGCCAACACUACUUAAAAAAAACCCUCAUACAUACCAGCUCAUAAUACCAACACCUAUUAAACCCUCAUACAUACCAGCUCAUAAUACCAACACCUAUUGACCGUUCUCACCUCCAUGGGAAGAAAAAAAAUACAAAACCAACACCUUUCAACAACUAUAAUAAUAUAUUGUAGGUAUCGGUUCUUAGAGAACCGACACCUCAAAAAACCUGAAACGAGCCACUACUUAACCCCACCAAGUCCUCGCGCAUCUGCUCCAUCCUUAUCCUCUCUCUCUCUCUCUCUCUCAUCCUCUCCUCCCUUUGCGCCACAUCCAUCUCCACCGCCCAUCACUGCAUCUAGCGUCGCCGCCCGUCGUGCCACUGGAUCUAACGGCGGCAACCUCGGUGCGGAGAGGAACCCUGGUGGAGACCUCGGCGCAGAGAGGGACCCCAACGAUGACCUCCACAUCGCUCCUCCGACGGUGACACAAAUUGGCAACGACAGUGGGACCGGGGAGAGUGAGUUCAUCUUGCUUGUGUAGUUCUUGAUCUUGUGUUGUUGUUGAUCUAUGAUCUGUGAUAUGUGAAAGAUGGGGUGAGGAUUUUUGUUGUUGAUCUGUGAUGGAUGGGAAUGAGAAUUGUUUGUUGAUUUGUGAUUUGUGAAGGAUGGGAUUAGGGGUUGCUUGAAGGGGCGGCUCCAAAGCAUCUCCUCAUCAAGCCGAGCCGAUGGUUGGAGCCAGCUUCUCCUUUUUUCUUUGAAAUGGGGAGAGCACAAAGGUGCCAGUUCUACAACGGCACCAAUGAAAUGGGGAGAGCACAAAGGUGCCAGUUCUACAACGGCACCAAUGACUUAGCAUCAUUGGUGUCAGUUGCGAAACCGGCAUGUAUGCCAAGUUUGCAACCAGGUGUUCUGCAGUAGUGCAACCAAGAUCGAGUUCAUGUGCUAGCAAAAAAGUAACGAUACUUUGAAACGGAGGAUUGAGAAAACACGUGAAUAGAAAAAAAAUGAGGAGUAGAAUGCCACACUUUUUAGAUUCCUAUAGUGUUUCGAAACACUGAAAGGUUUAAAAUUGUUGUUUGAAUGCUCACAUGACAAACACAAUAAUUCUAUACACAUGAAGAAGAAACACCAGAGGUAAGACCUCAUGCGUAAUUUCCUCAAAAAUGUUCUAGAAUGAUCCAUUCCAUAGGAUUUUUAAAGGAAUAGGUAGAAAAUAAUCAUUUUGUUUCGAAAGGAUCCAUUCUCAUAUGAAAUUCUCUGGAAUUCCUAUGAUAUGAAAUUCUCUGGAAUUCCUAUGAUUUUGCUCUGUUUCGGAGGGGCCUAAAUAUCUAGCCAAUGGUGAUUUUGGUUGCACAUUAGAUAAGGAUUUACUCCCAACGAACUGAUAAUACUUGUCAUUUUAGAGAAGGGUUAGAUCAAACUUUAGAAUCAUUGAUUAUGAAUUAUUUUUAAAAUAUUUAUCUUUCAAAUAUGGUGACUAUAUGUAUAGAUUAGUUUUAAAAAGUACUUUCAUAAAAUCAUAUAUUUGUUAACAAUUUUAUACAUAUUAUAAUAAAAAAUAAUGAUCAAAGUUAUUUUUUUGAAGACCGUGCCCUUAUCUAAACGACAAGUAUUAUCAAUCCGGAGGAAAUAGUUAUUUUGAUGUGGAUUAGUUAAUCAUUCGUGGUGCGUGAAUCAUGUUUGAUCUGUUUUUUUAUUUAUGUAGGGCCCUCCAUGGUAACUACUACUCCACCGUGUUUAUAUUACUAGUGUCAUGCACAUGUUUUAUAGGGUUCUGUCUUUUAUAUCUUGUGUUUUGGUGGGUUGUUUUUUUUGGAUGGGCUGGUUUUUUCGGGUAGUUUUUUUAUGUGGGGACUACAAUAGUGGGGACGAGGACAAUGCCUCUUCUUUCAAAGGUAAAAGAAUAAUCGAAUAUUGAGCAAUCAAAUUCAGUUAGUAGAGAUAAGUCAUUUAGGGUUUAUCCUAAUACAAACUUUUUAAAUUUAAUCAUGUUUAUUUGUAGAAAAGUUAGUAGCAUUUACAACACAAAAGAAAUAUACUAAGGAAAUAUAUUUACGAUGAAUUUAAUAAUAUUAACUUGGUAUUAUCGAUGCUACUAUAUUUUUGUAUAAAGUUAGUUAAAAAUGAAAAGUUUAACUUAGAGAUAACCUAAAACUUCUUAGGCUGAGUUUGUUUGGGUGAUAGGGAGUGAGAUGCUUCGCUACUUAAUUAGGUAACAUUAGGCGGUUUUACAACUCUAGACUUUGGGAUAUUCAUAUCACCUGGACACUUUGGAAUUGUUGGAGUAUUGUGGAAUUGGAUUCACACCGCCCCCUCUAUUCAAAAUCCCCAAAAUGGUUUUAGGCUGGGCUCGGGGUGCAUGGUUUUGAUAGUAGCACCUCGGCCAUAUAAGGACCGGUCUUCGGGCCUCUGUUGCAAAGCACUACCGUACUUCCACAUGUCUAGUGGGUAAGGCUUACUUUGUGGCUCAGUCUGGUUAUAAACAAAAGUACACGGAUGGAGAUGGACGAAGUCGGGGGUCGAUGGACAUCUCCAGGGCAAAUGAAGGCUACACGAGCUGCGGCCCGGUAGUCGAGAUGUCGUGGCACAGGGCCGGUGUCCUGCUGCUAGGGGCUCAGUCCUGCCUGCCUGUCCCGGGGGUUCCGGCCGUAGGUGGGAUUGGGUCGGUACUCUUGUCUAUGGCUAGGAUGGGUUGGAAACUAUGUCAUGUCUUCCGUCCGUAUACCAUGGUGGUAUGUGGCACGUGGUUACACGUGAGGAAGAUGUGUCUUGUGGGUAAAGAUGUACACCUCUAAUCAGAGUAUAAUCUAUUCGAAUAGCCGCGCCCUCGGUUAUGGGCAAGCCGAGCAAUGUACCCAAAUUAGUGUUUUAAUUCUAAAAACCUGCUUAACAACUAAAAUGUGGAAUGGUUGGCCUGGGUUGGCUUGGGACGAGCUGGGACCCAGGGUCGGGUUGCCGGUUCGGUCUGAAUCAUCGUAGGCCUUGGGUUAAGGCAGGUUCGUGUGGGUUCAUGGCCUUGAUAAAUAAUAUUGCAUAGUUCUAGAAUCGUGUUUACAAAAUAGCUUUGAGCAACUAAGCAUCUUUAAAUGCUGUUUACUGCAACCCUAACCCUUUAUAUUAUAACUCCCUUGUACUCCCUUGCAUUUAUUAUGCACUUGUGGGUGUGUCUUGUUGAGUACGGUGGUUGUACUCAGUCUUGCUCAAUUUUUCCCAACCCAGAAGAGGAGCCCCUGGUUGAUGAAGGCUUUGGUGUCUAGCUCGUGCCUGCCGUCAAGCGCCUGUGGUCGUCGCCCUAGUCUUCCGCUGUUUCUCGUUUGUCUUUGUGUGUGCUGGGCCUUCGUCGCCCAUGUAAUAAAUUAUCUAUUUACGCUUCCGCUUGUUAAACUCUGAAUUGUAUCAACUCUUGGUGUACCUUGCCUCCUGGGACAAGGAAUAAUACACGCACGAAAGGAACGCCCGUUGGGUUAAUUCCGGUCGUGACAAGUUGGUAUCAGAGCCCCCUUGACCCUAGGACGAGCCGUAGAUCCCAAGCCUUAGCAAUAUCAUCAAAAAUAAAAAUCCUUUGCUAAUUGUGAAAACUCUCUAGUCUCUCUCUGUCCUGCUGCUUCAUUUAUCGCCAAAAUCUGACUUUUAAAUGUUGCUUUUCUUUUUGUUUUUGUUUGUAGAUGGCCGGCAGCGUUAGUCGUCGUGGUCUGGACAUGACUGGUUUCGUCUUGGAGCUGCGGGGUAUGUGCGUUGUCCUGGGGUAUCCGCAUGGAGUGGACUACCAGGGCAGGCCGCUCCCGGAGCAGGAGGGUGACGAUGCAGAGCCCCACGCUGCUUGGGAGGUUACUGCAGUGAUCCUCACUGGCUCACCCGAGCGGACUUCGUUGGCAGUCACCGCGGGUGGAGAUUCUUUCUCCGCCGCUUGCCAGAGCGUCGCUCUCCUCGCCAUCGGCACUCUUCACUAGCGCUACCCGGACGAGCUGCAGCACUCGCCCUACCGCUACCACCCUCGUCGCGGAGGAGCCCGCGACUACGCCACCUUCUGGGAUGCUAGCUCAGAGGAUGACGCUACCAUCAUGCACCUGGCGCGCAUGGUGGAGGCGUACGACGCGGCUCGUAUCGACUUCCAUCAGAUGGUGCGCCGUGGGAUGGUCGAGAACGACCUGAAGAUCCUGGAGCUGCGUCAGGAGAAUCUGCAGCUGAAGAAGGACCUAGACGCAGUGGAGGCACAGCUGCAUCAGCUCAAGAUCACCCAGGGAGAGGUCUGUCGCCCCAAGCGUCGCCGCGUCUGCCGCAGCCAGAAGAUCACCGCCCGCAAGAGCACCUCCAGGCCCGAGCUUGUUCGUCAGUCCCUGGCGUGGACUUGCUUCGUGGAGACCCCUCGUGCCGAGCCCGCGCCCGUGGUUCCUCAGGAGGGGGAAGCCUCCGGCGUCGGUAGCACGGAGGAUGCGCUGUUGCUCACCUUCCGUCCUGGCCCGUCGCAGUGGUAGACGAGCAGUUAGUAGGCUUGCACGUGUGUUCUUUCUCGUUUGUCUUCUUAUUGGGGUCUUGUGGAGCAUGGUUAUGCCGGUGUGUGGCAUAACUGUGUCGGAGCCUGUCUUUAUUUUAUUUGCUUAAGCAACUUGAACUUUAAUGAACCAAUUUAAUAGCAGUAAUAAAUUCAAGAGUUAUGGUAGUCGUGGAUGGUUAGCUUUAAUUGUCAGCUCUCUCUGUUUGCUGGUUCUGUGUGGGGUUUUCAGAUGGUGACGACCAGGAGAAAUGCUGCCACCAGUGAUGGCAACCAACCUGAAGGCAGCAACCACAACAACCAUGGCAGCCCACCUCCACCUCCUCCACCGCCUCCACCACCACCACCAGACACCAACGCCAUUCUCACCCAAAUCCUCGCCCAGCAGGCCAACAUGAUGGCUGCUUUCCUCCACCACAUCCAAAAUCCGCCACAACAUAAUGCUCCACCACCACCCCCACAACACUCUAAACUCGCCGAGUUCCUACGCAUCCGUCCACCUACCUUCUCUAGCUCCAACAACCCCGUGGAUGCGUUGGAUUGGUUGCAUGCCGUGGGGAAAAAGCUAGACACUGUGCAGUGCAGCGAUGAGGAGAAAGUCGUCUUCGCCGCCCACCAACUGCAGGGACCCGCAUCUCUAUGGUGGGAUCAUUUCCAGGCUACGCAGCCAGAGGGGCAGCCUAUUACUUGGGCCCGCUUCACCGCCGCCUUCCGGAGGACCCAUGUGCCCGCCGGAGUCAUGGCCCUUAAGAAAAGGGAGUUCCGAGAGUUGAAGCAAGGCAACCGCUCCGUGAUGGAGUAUUUGCAUGAGUUUAACAACUUGGCCCGGUACGCCCCGGAGGAUGUGCGGGAAGAUGAGGAGAAGCAAGAGAAGUUCUUGGCAGGAAUGGACCCGGAGCUGUCUGUCCGUCUAGUCUCCGGUGACUAUCCGGAUUUCCAACGUCUGGUGGAAAAGAGCAUCCGCUUGGAAGCCAAGCACAAGGAACUGGAGUCGCACAAGCGUCGCUUGGCGAAUUUCCGCAACCAACAGGGUGCUAACCAAAGGAUCCGCUACACCAAUCCCUAUCCAGGGGGAUCUUCCUCGCAGCAGCAGCAACCUCGCUCCGCGCCUCGACCUCAAUUCGUGGUGCGCGUCCCACAGCCGCAGCAACAGCAGAGCCAGCAAGGGACCCGUGCGCCCCGUCCUCCUACGCCAGCCGCGCAGUCUGGACAAGGCCGCAGGGACGUUCAAGGUCCGCAGCGUCUGUGCUUCAACUGCUUCGAGCCCGGGCACUUUGCGGAUAAAUGCCCGAAGCCGAGGCGCCAGCAAGGCCAAGCGCCUCCCCGCUCCAACAACGGUGGUAAGGAUGUCAUUCGGGGUCGUGUGAACCACGUGACGGCCGAGGACGUGCUGACAACUCCAGACGUCAUCGUUGGUACGUUCCUCAUCCAUUCCAUCCCUGCUACCAUUUUGUUCGACUCUGGAGCUUCCCACUUGUUUAUAUCUGUGCCAUUCGUGGGGAGAAAUCAGUUGGGGGUAGAAAGGCUUAGGAACCCUCUACUCAUCACCACCCCUGGAGGGGUUAUGACAGCAAAGUAUUAUAGUCCUGCCGUCCCUAUAGAAAUUCAGGGGAUUCCUUUUCCCUCGGAUCUGAUUCUUCUAGACACCAAGAACUUGGAUGUGAUCCUUGGGAUGAAUUGGUUGGCUCAAUUCCAAGGAGUAGUGGAUUGUGCAAGACGCACUGUCACUCUGUACCGAGGGCCGGAACAACCGGUUGUUUUCUUUGCACCCCCAACCUCUGUCAGUAGUUCAGAACUUCAUCAGAUAGGACUGUCAGAAAUCCCCAUUGUCAGAGAGUUCGGAGACGUGUUUCCGGAAGAACUACCCGGUAUGCCGCCCAAGCGAGAGAUUGAGUUCCGGAUAGAUCUUGCUCUAGGAACCACUCCUCUGUACAAGCGACCCUACCGUAUGGCAGCAAAUGAACUGGCCGAAGUUAAGAAACAGUUGGAAGAGUUGAAAGAAAAGGGGUAUAUACGUCCGAGUACUUCCUCCUGGGGUGCUCCUGUGAUUUUUGUGGAGAAGAAAGACAAGACGAAGAGGAUGUGCGUUCACUACAGAGCUCUCAAUGAAGUCACCAUCAAAAACAAGUACCCUCUUCCCCGGAUCGAUGAUCUGUUCGAUCAGCUUAAAGGUGCCACGGUAUUCUCCAAGAUUGAUCUUCGUUCUGGAUAUCACCAGUUGCGCAUCCGUGAAGAAGAUAUUCCGAAGACCGCAUUCACCACGCGAUACGGACUGUAUGAAUUCACGGUGAUGUCGUUCGGUUUAACCAAUGCUCCUGCCUUCUUCAUGAACUUAAUGAACAAAGUGUUCAUGGAAUACUUGGAUAAGUUUGUUGUGGUUUUCAUUGAUGACAUUCUGGUAUACUCACAAUCAGAGGAAGACCAUCAGCACCAUCUCCGUCUGGUGUUGGGAAAGUUGCGGGAACAUCAAUUGUAUGCCAAACUUAGCAAGUGUGAGUUCUGGUUGUCCGAAGUCAAAUUCUUAGGGCACGUGAUAUCCGCUAAAGGAGUUGCUGUGGAUCCCGAAACAGUGACCGCCGUCACCGAUUAGAAGCAACCCAAGACAGUCACUCAAAUUCGCAGUUUCUUAGGUUUGGCAGGAUACUACCGGAGGUUCAUCGAGAACUUCUCCAAAAUCGCUCGACCCAUGACACAGUUGUUGAAGAAAGAGGAGAAAUUUGUGUGGAGCCCGCAAUGCGAGAAGGCGUUCAAAACUCUCAAAGAAAAGCUGGUUUCCUCGCCAGUGUUAAUCUUGCCGGAUACUCGCAAGGACUUCAUGGUGUAUUGUGACGCUUCGCGCCAAGGAUUGGGGUGCGUGCUCAUGCAGGACGGUCAUGUGGUGGCCUAUGCCUCACGCCAGCUACGGCCUCAUGAAGGCAACUACCCUACCCAUGAUUUGGAGUUAGCCGCGGUGGUUCAUGCUCUAAAAAUCUGGCGGCACUAUCUCAUUGGGAAUCGCUGUGAAAUAUAUACUGAUCAUAAGAGUUUGAAAUACAUCUUCACCCAGUCGGAUCUGAAUCUUCGGCAGAGGAGAUGGUUAGAACUCAUCAAGAAUUAUGAUGUGGGAAUUCACUAUCAUCCUGGUAAGGCCAACGUGGUCGCCGACGCUCUAAGUCGAAAAAGCCAUUGCAACACUCUUAACGUCCGUGGCAUUCCACCCGAACUUAAUCAACAGAUGGAAGCCCUGAAUCUAAGCAUAGUGGGUCGCGGAUUCUUGGCUGCGUUGGAAGCCAAGCCCACCUUGCUCGAUCAAAUCCGCGAGGCUCAGAAGAACGAUCCGGACAUGCAUGGACUCCUCAAGAAUAUGAAACAGGGUAAAGCCGCUGGUUUCACAGAGGAUGAACACGGAACCCUAUGGAACAGAAAUCGGGUAUGCGUUCCAGAUAACAGAGAACUUAAACAGCUGAUACUUCAGGAAGCUCACGAAAGUCCUUAUUCCAUCCACCCUGGCAGUACGAAGAUGUACUUAGACUUGAAGGAGAAAUACUGGUGGGUUAGUAUGAAGCGGGAAAUUGCAGAGUUCGUGGCCCUUUGUGAUGUGUGCCAGCGUGUCAAGGCAGAGCACCAACGACCGGCCGGACUUCUCCAACCUCUCCAAGUACCAGAAUGGAAAUGGGAUGAAAUUGGGAUGGAUUUCAUCACCGGACUUCCAAAAACCCAAGGUGGAUAUGAUUCUAUAUGGGUAGUUGUGGAUCGAUUAACCAAGGUAGCUCGAUUUAUUCCUGUGAAGGCCACCUAUGGAGGGAACAAACUAGCCGAGCUCUACUUCGCUAGGAUCGUGAGUCUCCAUGGCGUUCCUAAGAAAAUUGUAUCCGAUAGGGGAAGCCAAUUCACCUCUCACUUUUGGAAGAAGCUCCAAGAAGAGCUGGGUACCCGAUUAAAUUUCAGCACCGCGUAUCACCCGCAGACAGAUGGACAGACCGAGCGUCUAAAUCAGAUCCUAGAAGAUAUGCUUCGCGCAUGUGUCCUAGAUUUCGGGAAGACCUGGGAUAAGAGUCUCCCCUAUGCCGAGUUCUCCUACAAUAACAGCUACCAAGCCAGCAUACAAAUGGCACCUUAUGAAGCGUUGUAUGGGCGCAAAUGCCGGACACCGCUAUUGUGGGACCAAGUUGGGGAAAGCCAAGUGUUCGGGACCGAUAUCCUGAGAGAAGCUGAAGCUAAAGUCAGAACCAUUCGGGAUAAUCUAAAGGUGGCCCGGUCUCGGCAGAAGAGUUAUGCAGACAACCGACGCCGUGACCUAGAAUUCGCAGUGGAUGACUUUGUGUAUCUUCGGGUCACGCCCUUGCGAGGUGUACACAGGUUUCAGACAAAGGGGAAGCUCGCACCUCGGUUUGUGGGUCCUUUCCGUAUCAUUGCUCGGCGCGGAGAAGUCGCUUACCAGUUGGAGCUGCCCGCCUCCUUGGGCAACGUGCAUGAUGUGUUCCAUGUGUCGCAACUCAAGAAAUGUCUUCGAGUGCCAUCCGAGCAGGCCGACUCAGAGCAAAUUGAAGUUCGCGAAGACUUGACCUACGUGGAGAGGCCAGUGAAAAUCCUGGACACCAUGGAGCGAAGGACCAGGAACCGGGUAAUCCGUUUUUGCAAGGUCCAAUGGAGCAACCACGCCGAGGAAGAAGCUACUUGGGAGCGUGAAGACGAGCUGAAGGCAGCCCAUCCCGAUCUCUUCGUCAGUUCUUCCGAAUCUCGGGGUCGAGAUUCCGUUUAAGGGGGGUAGGUUUGUCGCGUCCCAAAAUGACUCUAAAAUACAUCCUCGAAAUUAUGCCUAGAAUAAUUAAAAUCCUUGUGAAAGCCUCCCACAAUUAAAAUGUGCAAAGUUAAAAGUCCAAUAAGGCUUGGAGGAUUUUUGUAUAUUUCCUAAAAGCCUAAAAUGCGUAAAUAAAUUUUAGUGGAAUUUUCAGAGCACAAAUAAUAAUUAUUAAGAAAUAAACAAAGUUAAAAUGAUUUUAUAAAAAGAAAAAUCCUAAAAAGUCUUUCCCCCCCUCCCCCUCUUGGGCCGGCUCAGCCCAUCUCCUUCCCUCUCUCUCCUCCUCCCCGCGGCCCAUUCGGCCUCCUCCCCGCGCGCGCGCCGCUGACGAGCGGGCCCGCCCGCCACCCACGCUGACGGGUGGGGCCCACCCGUCAUCCCCUUCCUCCCGCCGCUCCCGCCGCCUCGCCCGUGCCCUAGCGCCGCCGCCGCCGCAAAUCCCGCCGCUCCCGUCCGCCCCGCGUGCAAUCAAGAGGGGGGAAAUAUUCCCCGUGAUUCCCUCCCUCUUUCCCCCCAUUUUUCCCUCCCUCUCUCCCUCGGAUUCGUUCGGAAUCUUUCCCCCUAAACCUCGCCGGCGCAUCAAUGGCGGCCGGAUCUUCCGCGCCCGUUUCCCCCUCAUCCGGCCGCCCUCUCUCACUCCCAACCCUAUAUAAACACUCCCCGUGCCUCCCUCCACCGUUUCCGCCACUCGCCGCUCUCUCUCUCUCCGCCGGAAUCGAGCUCGCGUCGUCGCUCUCUCUCUCCGCCGUCACCGCCGAGCUCCGGUCUGCCGCCGUCGUCGCCCCGGACCUUCUCCCGCUUCGGCGCCGCCUCCUUCGGUUUCGCCGCAACCUCGCCGACCUCGUCCACCCCUCCGUUUCGCCCGCCGACCGCCGGAACGCCGCCGUCCCCGUCUACCCGAGCCGCGCCGCCGCCUUCCUCCGCUCCGGUCGCCGUUCCCGUCGUCGCCGUCGACCCGGGGUGAGCUGUGGACCGCCGAUUCGUUUCCCCCUUCCCUCCCCUCUCUCGGGCGCCGCUCCGCCGCGCCGGUGGUCGCCGGCGGCGACCAUCGGGGCGCGGGUGCGCCGCCUCCCGUCGGCUGUGCCGGCGUGGCCACCUUCGGGCGCGCCCCGCGGCUGCCAUGUGGGGCCCGGCCGUCAGCCGCCCGCGCCCUCGGGUGCGGCUGACGCGUGGGACCCACGGCGCCGGCCGGUGUGAGCCGGGAGCACCCGGUCCACCGUGGACCGUGAGGCUGCCGCGUGGGCCCCACUCCCGUGGACCCGGUCCGCGCGCCCCUCCCCUCGGCUGACGCAAUAGAUCCAAAUUUUAAAUUAAAAUUUAAAUGAAGAAAUUCGCAAAUAUUCAUUUAAAGAGCAUAUAACCUUCAAAUGGCCAUAACUUGGCCAUUUGAACUCGGAAUUGGACCGUUCAAGUCUCUAAUUUUUCCUUAAGAAGUCAAGAACCCAUUUUUGUGCUUUGUUUCUGCUUGUUAUAUGGAGUUUAUUAGAGUAAAAGCCUUUUCUUUUCCGUUGGUCGUGUAGACGCUGCAGCUUCGGAAGAUCCGCUCUUCGUGGAGGUUGAAGCCGACGUUUGGGAAAGUGAGCAAGGCAAGUCACAUCAUCUUUGAACAUAUUGAAUCCCAGUUUAUAAAAUUAUGUUGAUUUAAAUUAUUGCAUUAUCGCUUUAUUUAAAUUCCCGCGUUAUCACUGUUUUGUUUAGCCAUGCCUAUUUACCUUUGUUAUGACCUUAUUAUUGUUAUUGUUAUUAUUUCCUUGUUCACCCUAGAUUAAACAAAACCCCAACUAGUGGACACUCUACUCAUGGUACCACUAGUAUGAUGUUAGGUAGAUGCUUCGCUAUUUAAUUAGGUAACAUUAGGCGGUUUUACAACUCUAGACUUUGGGAUAUUCAUAUCACCUGGACACUUUGGAAUUGUUGGAGUAUUGUGGAAUUGGAUUCACACCGCCCCCUCUAUUCAAAAUCCCCAAAAUGGUUUUAGGCUGGGCUCGGGGUGCAUGGUUUUGAUAGUAGCACCUCGGCCAUAUAAGGACCGGUCUUCGGGCCUCUGUUGCAAAGCACUACCGUACUUCCACAUGUCUAGUGGGUAAGGCUUAGUUUGUGGCUCAGUCUGGUUAUAAACAAAAGUACACGGAUGGAGAUGGACGAAGUCGGGGGUCGAUGGACAUCUCCAGGGCAAAUGAAGGCUACACGAGCUGCGGCCCGGUAGUCGAGAUGUCGUGGCACAGGGCCGGUGUCCUGCUGCUAGGGGCUCAGUCCUGCCUGCCUGUCCUGGGGGUUCCGGCCGUAGGUGGGAUUGGGUCGGUACUCUUGUCUAUGGCUAGGAUGGGUUGGAAACUAUAUCAUGUCUUCCGUCCGUAUACCAUGGUGGUAUGUGGCACGUGGUUACACGUGAGGAAGAUGUGUCUUGUGGGUAAAGAUGUACACCUCUGAUCAGAGUAUAAUCUAUUCGAAUAGCCGCGCCCUCGGUUAUGGGCAAGCCGAGCAAUGUACCCAAGUUAGUGUUUUAAUUCUUAAAACCUGCUUAACAACUAAAAUGUGGAAUGGUUGGCCUGGGUUGGCUUGGGACGAGCUGGGACCCAGGGUCGGGUUGCCGGUUCGGUCUGAAUCAUCGUAGGCCUUGGGUUAAGGCAGGUUCGUGUGGGUUUACGGCCUUGAUAAAUAAUAUUGCAUAGUUCUAGAAUCGUGUUUACAAAAUAGCUUUGAGCAACUAAGCAUCUUUAAAUGCUGUUUACUGCAACCCUAACCCUUUAUAUUAUAACUCCCUUGUACUCCCUUGCAUUUAUUAUGCACUUGUGGGUGUGUCUUGUUGAGUACGGUGGUUGUACUCAGUCUUGCUCAAUUUUUCCCAACCCAGAAGAGGAGCCCCUGG
rnacentral:lncRNA from 1 species